ACUACGGGUGGCAGCAGUGAGGAAUAUUGGUCAAUGGUCGGGAGACUGUACCAGCCAAGCCGCGUGAGGGAGGAAGGUACAGAGUAUCGUAAACCUCUUUUGUCAGGGAACAAAGGCGGGGACGUGUCCCCGGAUGAGUGUACCUGAAGAAAAAGCAUCGGCUAACUCCGUGCCAGCAGCCGCGGUAAUACGGAGGAUGCGAGCGUUAUCCGGAGUUAUUGGGUUUAAAGGGAGCGCAGGCGGUCUGUUAAGUCAGCGGUCAAAGCCCGGGGCUCAACCCCGGACCGCCGUUGAAACUGGCAGUCGCGAGUUGGAGAGAGGUAUGCGGAAUGCGCGGUGUAGUGGUGAAAUGCAUAGAUAUCGCGCAGAACUCCGAUUGCGAAGGCAGCAUGCCGGCUCCACACUGACGCUGAGGCACGAAAGCGUGGGUAUCGAACAGGAUUAGAUACCCCAGUAGUC
rnacentral:rRNA from 1 species